rnacentral:ncRNA from 1 species
AUGUAAGAUUUAUCUUUAAAUCUUUAAAAUUUAGACUCAGUAAACAUUAUUAAUAAUAGGAGAAAUCUCGAUUUAGAAAUAUAAUUUAAAAUUAACCAAUUUUGUGCCAGCAGUUGCGGUUAUACAAUAAAUUUAAAGAUAUUUAUUAGAUAAUAUUAAUUAUUAAGAUUUUAUAAGAAUAUAUUUAAAGUUUAAAGGUAAAAUUUAUAAUUCUAAUUUUAUCUUGUUUAUAAUAGUUUAAGAAAUUUAUUAAUAAACCAGGAUUAGAUACCCUGCUAUUAAAAAUGUAAAAUAUUUUGGAGUAGUUUUAAAUAUAUUUACAAACUCAAAAAAUUUGGCGGUAUUUUAUCUUAUCAGAGGAACUUGUUAAUUAAUUGAUAUUCCACAAUUAUAAUAUACUUUUAUUAAUAUACUUGUAUACCGCUGUCAUGAAUAUAUUUAAAAGUUUAUUUUCCAUCGUUUUUAUUAAAUUUAUGUUAGGUCAAGGUGCAGUUUAUAAAAGAACAUAAUGGGUUACAUUAUAUAUGAUGUAUGGAUUUAAUAAAUUUUAUUUUUUAGUAAAACAGGAUUUGAAAGUAACUUUGUUAAUAAAAAUAAUAUGAAUUUAGAUUCUAAAAUAUGUACAUAUUGCCCGUCGCUCUUAUUUAAAAUAAGAUAAGUCGUAACAUAGUAGGUGUACCGGAAGGUGUUCCUGG